AAAUGAAUAGACGGGGGCCCGCACAAGCGGAGGAACAUGUGGUUUAAUUCGAUGAUACGCGAGGAACCUUACCCGGGCUUGAAAUACUAUCGAUGUAUGGGGAAACCCAUAUUCCAGCAAUGGCGAUAGUGUAGGUGCUGCAUGGUUGUCGUCAGCUCGUGCCGUGAGGUGUCGGCUUAAGUGCCAUAACGAGCGCAACCCUUAUCAUUAGUUACUAACAGGUAGAGCUGAGGACUCUAAUGAGACUGCCGCCGUAAGGUGAGAGGAAGGUGGGGAUGACGUCAAAUCAGCACGGCCCUUAUGUCCGGGGCGACACACGUGUUACAAUGGGGGGUACAGAGGGAAGCAUCCAUGCGAGUGGUAGCUGAUCUUAAAAGCCUCUCUCAGUUCGGAUUGGAGUCUGCAACUCGACUCCAUGAAGCCGGAUUCGCUAGUAAUCGCGCAUCAGCCACGGCGCGGUGAAUACGUUCCCGGGCCUUGUACACACCGCCCGU
rnacentral:rRNA from 1 species